rnacentral:piRNA from 1 species
UGGACGAUUGUAGUGAUCAACCAAGAAGAC